GAAUGAUUCUGAUAUCACUCCUUUAAAUGCCAAUUCAGAUAUGAGGCCUUUGCCUAAAUUGGAUGUAGACACCAUAGAAAUCUUCAAGGGUCUGCAGGCUCAUAUCUGAAAUUGAAAGUAUCUUCUCAGAGAAAGCACAUAAACUCCACUAAAGGGUAUGUUCUCUCCUUACUUUUGUUAUACUUACUAAUUAUUAUCUCUGUGUUUGCUAUGUGAAGAGCGGAAGGGAGAAGAUGGUGAGUAUUUAAAAUACUUAGCAUAUACAAUCAUCAGUCUGACUUAUCUAUGUUUGUCUCCUUACAGUAACGGAGAUGGGCUUCAAAGUUCAAAUACAAAUGGAGAUAUGGAGAUAUCUUAAAAGGAUCUCACAGACAUUUAGCUGUAAGACCUCUUCAUUUAUACUUGCUGCUUAUGUUUGAAAAUGCUUGAUAUUUUAUUUGGGUCUGGGCAUUGUGUAAAUGACUUUAAUUGCAGUUAAACACUCAUAUUGGAUAAAGAAGGUGGGUCUGGAGAACCUAUUAAAGAAAUUCUUAGAUGCUUUUUAAGUUUCAAGUAGAUACAAGUACUUUUUAUUUGUUCUUCUUGCCUGAACGGAAAGCAUUCCGUAUCUCUAUGUUUUUUUUUUUUUUUGCUUGGUCUGAGCUUCUUUGAAUCGAAAUGGUAAUGACCCAUAGUAGCUUGCUGUGAUAGUACUUUUUCUUGUUGAUGUUUUGCUAUCUGUGUUGAUUGUGAUGGUGCUUUUGUACACUCAGAUGUUGCACCAGGAGUUUCUGAUUUCAGUUUCGUGCAUGGAAAUUUAUAAUGAAGAACUAAUGACCUUCUGGCUGUAGAGAACAAGAAAUUGCAUAUUCA